rnacentral:pre_miRNA from 1 species
UGUGUACUCCCUCCGUUCCAAAAUACUUGACUUCCAUUUGUCCAAAAAUGGAUGUACCUAUAUACUAAGACAUGUCUAGAUACAUAUAUAUUUUGACAAAUAGAAGGCAUGUAUUGUACAAUGGAGGGAGUAGAAU